GGCCGGUUAGCUCAGUCGGUUAGAGCGUGAUGCUGAUAACACCAAGGUCGCGGGUUCGAUCCCUGUUCGGUCU
rfam:Apaloderma vittatum contig36801, whole genome shotgun sequence.